GACGAACGCUGGCGGCGUGCCUAAUACAUGCAAGUAGAACGCUGAAGGAGGAGCUUGCUCUUCUGGAUGAGUUGCGAACGGGUGAGUAACGCGUAGGUAACCUGCCUGGUAGCGGGGGAUAACUAUUGGAAACGAUAGCUAAUACCGCAUAACAGUAGAUGUUGCAUGACAUUUGCUUAAAAGGUGCAAUUGCACCACUACCAGAUGGACCUGCGUUGUAUUAGCUAGUUGGUGCGGUAACGGCUCACCAAGGCGACGAUACAUAGCCGACCUGAGAGGGUGGGCGGCCAGACUGAGAGGGAGACACGGCCCAGACGCCUUCGGGAGGGAGCAGUAGGGAAUCGUCGGCAAGGGGCGGAAGUCUUAGCGAGCAACGCCGCGGGAGGGAAGAAGGAUGUCGGAUCGGAAAGCUCGGUUGUAAGAGAAGAACGAGUGUGAGAGUGGAAAGUUCACACUGUGACGGUAUCGGAUCAGAAAGGGACGGCUAACUACGUG
rnacentral:rRNA from 1 species